UACGGAGGGUGCAAGCGUUAUCCGGAUUCACUGGGUUUAAAGGGUGCGUAGGCGGGCAGGUAAGUCAGAGGUGAAAUCUCCGAGCUUAACUCGGAAACUGCCUUUGAUACUAUCUGUCUUGAAUAUGGUGGAGGUAAGCGGAAUAUGUCAUGUAGCGGUGAAAUGCUUAGAGAUGACAUAGAACACCUAUUGCGAAGGCAGCUUACUACGCCUAUAUUGACGCUGAGGCACGAAAGCGUGGGGAUCAAACAGG
rnacentral:rRNA from 1 species